GAAGAGUAUCGUGCUCACUUCAGCAGCUAAAAUUGGAACAACAUAGAGAAGAUUAAUUAGCAUGGCCCUUGCGCAAGGAUGACACGCAAAAUCAUGAAGUGUUCCAUAUUUUU
ensembl:snRNA U6 U6 spliceosomal RNA